GAUUUGGAGAUAUUCUUGCUCAGCUUUUUCUUGCUCAUCCUGCUCGGGGAGCUUGAGCAAGCUCUGCUCACUCAGCUCAAGGAAGCUGAACUUGCUCAUUCCCGCUUUCCUUGCUCACCGAUAAUUUUGGCAUCGAGCAAGACCUGCUCACGUUUGCUUUUUCUGCUCUGACAAAUUCCGAGGCACAAAGCAAGCUUUGCUCAAUCCUGCUCCAAUGAGCAAGCCUUGCUAUUCUUGCUCUCGGUCUUUUAUCAUCAAGCAAGGUCUGCUCAAUCUUGCCAAUCCUGCUCAUGGCGCCACUUUUUGAACGGUUAAAACAAAUGAGCGUCACUGUGCGUGUUGUUACUGCACAGAGCGUCGGCAAGCAAAACAAAGCGGUUGUUUCUGAAGGGAACUGCGAGUUUACGCGAGUUUAGGUGGGAAAUUCAAGUGAAAAUCAAGCAAAGUGUCUGCAGAGAUGUUAUCUCAACAAAUCAAAUUGGAAAGGAGCUGCAGCGUGUGAUUGAAGUAAUUGAAAAGAGAAAAUGAGGGAGCCUUUAGCGUGUGUUUAAUACCAAACAGACGCAUUUCUGGCUGGAUCUGAGUGAAUCUAAUUGUAAGGUAGCCAUUGGCUUUAGGAAAUUUCCGGGGAACAUAAUAAUGUGGCAGCCUUUCCACUUUCACACAGAUAAGUAAAAAUCUCACGUUUUUUUCUGCAGGAAUGAUAUUUUAAAUUGGAUUUCAAUAAAAUUAUUCUUCAACAUCCAAACUUGUUUAAGUUAUAUAUGUAUUAUCAUUAGACCUGAACCUGUUUCCCGUUUUUCCAGUUAAUAAACUUAAAAAAAUAUAUAUUAAAUAUAAAUAUUUUUGUCACCGCCAAAAUUGAAAUCAUUUUAAAAAUGUUUUGUCCCUAUUAUUCUUUAUUUUAAUCGUUGAAAUAAAACUUGCGGAUUCACCUAUAGAAAAGUAAAAGCAUGUUUGCCAAUACUUAAGAAUAUUGCUUUUUACAAUAAAUAAAUAUGUUUCCCCCUUAAAU